AGCCGCAUCCUACUGCCUUACUAUUGGUCGUCGGCAACGCUUUGUUAGUUAAUUGGAGAGACUGGAUGUCCAUCAGGGUCACGCUUGCAGGGCAACGAGAGGCAAAACAAGAGGGAAGACGACUUUCCUCCUGUGAGCCAAUGAGGCCAGCUGGGCUACCCCGAGACAACUGGGAGAGGCGCGGGACUCGCCCGUUCCGCGGAACGCCGGGAAGGGGUCACCUCCUGAUGAAGUUUCCGGUUCCGGUGUCAGCGGCGGUUGAAUUGCCAUGGCAACGCGAUUCAUUGAUUCCAGGUAAAUCAGAGGAACAAGCAACAUGAACAGAAAUAUGUAGAAAAUGCUAUUAUGCAGAAGCAUAAUUGUUGUUUCAGAAGUCCAGCAUCUGGUGCACUUAGCAAUAGAGAAUAUAUUAAAGUCUUUCCAAAAU
rnacentral:antisense_RNA from 1 species